GCAUUUGGAAGAUCCAAAUAGUCACAAAGAAAGCCAAUGGGAAUUUAUAACAGGUCAUCACCAACAGACUAGUGUUUCUGAGGAGAAGGAUUGGGUGUGCUGAAAACUGACUUUCUGAGAGAUAGAAGAUGAACACAGACUUAAUUUAUUUGAUUUAAAAGAACUCAAGCAAUUUCCUAGAUCCCUGAAUGCAGUUGAAGUGGAAGAGGCUUGUGGAAAUUGACAGCCAGUAAAUAGUCUAACAGGCUUUUGCUCCAACUCAUCUAAUCUCAGCAGGCCUCCUUUGCUGUGGAAAAGAACUUAAAGGCUCAGAAAGAAAUUGAAGAUCAAGUGAAAGCCUUUGGCUCUGAGGAAGAAACUUUACUACUGAUC